CGUGCGGGUGCUUACCAUGCAAGUCGAACGAUGAAGCCCAGCUUGCUGGGUGGAUUAGUGGCGAACGGGUGAGUAACACGUGAGCAACCUGCCCCUGACUCUGGGAUAAGCGCUGGAAACGGCGUCUAAUACUGGAUAUGUCCCAUCACCGCAUGGUGUGUGGGUGGAAAGAUUUUUCGGUUGGGGAUGGGCUCGCGGCCUAUCAGCUUGUUGGUGAGGUAAUGGCUCACCAAGGCGUCGACGGGUAGCCGGCCUGAGAGGGUGACCGGCCACACUGGGACUGAGACACGGCCCAGACUCCUACGGGAGGCAGCAGUGGGGAAUAUUGCACAAUGGGCGGAAGCCUGAUGCAGCAACGCCGCGUGAGGGAUGACGGCCUUCGGGUUGUAAACCUCUUUUAGCAGGGAAGAAGCGAAAGUGACGGUACCUGCAGAAAAAGCACCGGCUAACUACGUGCCAGCAGCCGCGGUAAUACGUAGGGUGCAAGCGUUAUCCGGAAUUAUUGGGCGUAAAGAGCUCGUAGGCGGUUUGUCGCGUCUGCUGUGAAAUCCCGAGGCUCAACUUCGGGCUUGCAGUGGGUACGGGCAGACUAGAGUGCGGUAGGGGAGAUUGGAAUUCCUGGUGUAGCGGUGGAAUGCGCAGAUAUCAGGAGGAACACCGAUGGCGAAGGCAGAUCUCUGGGCCGUAACUGACGCUGAGGAGCGAAAGGGUGGGGAGCAAACAGGCUUAGAUACCCUGGUAGUCCACCCCGUAAACGUUGGGAACUAGUUGUGGGGUCCUUUCCACGGAUUCCGUGACGCAGCUAACGCAUUAAGUUCCCCGCCUGGGGAGUACGGCCGCAAGGCUAAAACUCAAAGGAAUUGACGGGGACCCGCACAAGCGGCGGAGCAUGCGGAUUAAUUCGAUGCAACGCGAAGAACCUUACCAAGGCUUGACAUACACGAGAACG
rnacentral:rRNA from 1 species